CGCAGCUGCUGCUCACUCUGUCUAUAUGUCUGCUCCAGGAGUUUAUGGAUUAAUAUCGGGAUCGUUUUACAUCUACACAUUAAAUAUGAGCAGCGGGAUGUCAACAGAGAACAGAAGACUUGAGAUCUGAGCACCAGUGGACAGUGAAGACUAUGGAAGAGAAGAUGUGAUGGCUUUGUGUGGAAAGCUGCUGAAGCCAGCCGGUGACUCCUCAUCAGUCUCUCCAGGCAGCACCCAGCUAUUCUUCUUCCAUCUUGCAGAUGAAAAUACUUUGAUAUAAAUGUAAAACACCCUGGCCAAGUAUACCCUUACUGGGAAGGGGAAAACAGCAGAGGUCAAGAACCAACUUGACCCGGAGAAAGUGAAUGCCAUUAUAGACACGGUGAGAGAAAAAUAUCCGGGUACCGAGGUCAGCGUGAUCCGGGCCCUGCUGCGGAGGAAAUGCAACAAUGAGAGCUACAAAAACAACGUUCCUCCUAAGUGAUGGCCGCCAUUUAUUUUAUUUAGACUUUGCAAGUCCAUAAAUGACGUGAGUCAGUUUAACCAUCAUGUUUUGUUAAUUGUUCAAUUUAUUCAAGUAUGAA